rnacentral:tmRNA from 1 species
UUCGCUUUAGCUGCUGCCUAGUAUAGGCGGCCCGUCAGUCCCGGGUUCCUGCACCUGGGGUAGCUGGCGCCAUCAAGUCAGGCCUUUUGCGUGGGAAGGUUAAACGCUAAAACCAUCCGGCCAAAGCUUUGAGGUUGGACGGGACUUAUGAAGCUACUGAGAUAUAAAGCCUGUUGUUGGGCGUUAUAUUGAGGGAAAUGGUUGGGGACAUUCCCUGGUUUGCAGGGUGUGCCGCCUGAUAUUAAUACAGCAACUGCACCCGGAGAAGCACUUGUGAAUACAGUUUCGGACAGGGGUUCGAUUCCCCUCGCCUCCACCA